UACGAACCGUCCAAACGUUAUUCGGAAUCACUGGGCUUAAAGGGUGCGUAGGCGGCCCGGUAAGUUGGGUGUGAAAUCCCUCGGCUCAACCGAGGAAUUGCGCCCAAAACUGUCGGGCUCGAGGAAGAUAGAGGUGAGCGGAACUUAGGGUGGAGCGGUGAAAUGCGUUGAUAUCCUAAGGAACACCGGUGGCGAAAGCGGCUCACUGGGUCUUUUCUGACGCUGAGGCACGAAAGCUAGGGGAGCGAACGGG
rnacentral:rRNA from 1 species